rnacentral:lncRNA from 1 species
GUGCUUCAGCCUUUUAUGAGUAGGCAUUAAAUUACAUGAAUCUCCCUGUGCUGAGUCUGUUUUACCCAUGACAGUAAUUGGUGAGUGAUCUUCCUGUCCUUAUCUCAAUCCAUGAGCUCUUUUUCAUUGCAUUUUCUCCCUCUGUCUUUUUCAGGUAGGGGACUAAGAAAGCACUAUGGUAGGGCUGAACUGCCCGACUGUGUGAAACAGCUACAAGCACUUUUGGAGCUGAUGUGUUACAGACACUUUCACAGACAAGAGCUGUUUUUGACUGAGACUGGAGCCAGAAGAGACCGAGAUGGACAGAAACUGUUCUAAAAAAUGCAGUUAAUGAAGCCGUAUCAUCCCCAGCAAAUCUCUCAGACAUUCCCUGAAGAUAUUUCAGACUGCUCCUUUCCAGACAUCAGCUCAGG